UACGCUGACGAGCGGCGGACGGGUGAGUAAUGCAUAGGAAUCUGCCCGAUAGUGGGGGAUAACCUGGGGAAACCCAGGCUAAUACCGCAUACGUCCUACGGGAGAAAGGGGGCUUCGGCUCCCGCUAUUGGAUGAGCCUAUGUCGGAUUAGCUAGUUGGUGAGGUAAUGGCUCACCAAGGCAGCGAUCCGUAGCUGGUCUGAGAGGAUGAUCAGCCACAUCGGGACUGAAACACGGCCCGAACUCCUACGGGAGGCAGCAGUGGGGAAUAUUGGACAAUGGGGGCAACCCUGAUCCAGCCAUGCCGCGUGUGUGAAGAAGGCCCUCGGGUUGUAAAGCACUUUCAGCGAGGAAGAACGCCUGUCGGUUAAUACCCGGCAGGAAAGACAUCACUCGCAGAAGAAGCACCGGCUAACUCCGUGCCAGCAGCCGCGGUAAUACGGAGGGUGCAAGCGUUAAUCGGAAUUACUGGGCGUAAAGCGCGCGUAGGUGGCUUGAUAAGCCGGUUGUGAAAGCCCCGGGCUCAACCUGGGAACGGCAUCCGGAACUGUCAGGCUAGAGUGCAGGAGAGGAAGGUAGAAUUCCCGGUGUAGCGGUGAAAUGCGUAGAGAUCGGGAGGAAUACCAGUGGCGAAGGCGGCCUUCUGGACUGACACUGACACUGAGGUGCGAAAGCGUGGGUAGCAAACAGGAUUAGAUACC
rnacentral:rRNA from 1 species